CGCCUUUCGAUAAAUUAAUAUGAAAGGUCCUGCCUGCCCAGUGAAAAUAUUUAAACGGCCGCGGUAUUAUGACCGUGCAAAGGUAGCAUAAUCACUUGUCUUUUAAAUUAGGACCAGCAUGAAUGGCAAAACGAAAGCCUGACUGUCUCCUUGAACUAGUCAAUGAAAUUAAUCUUCCCGUGCAGAAGCGGGAAUAAAAAUAUAAGACGAGAAGACCCUGUGGAGCUUAAAAUAAAAUUAUAUAGAUACUUAUAAUAACAUUAAAUUUAGGUUGGGGCGACCAUGAGGUAAAAUAUAACCCUCAAGACAACAAUAAGAAGGACACUUCAAACAAAAUAAAGUUUAUAUUAUUGACCCAAUAAUGAUCAACGAACCAAGUUACCCCAGGGAUAACAGCGCAAUCCAUUCCCAAAGUCCAUAUCGACGAAUGGGUUUACGACCUCGAUGUUGGAUCAGGACCCCCAAAUGGUGCAACAGCUAUUAAAGGUUCGUUUGUUCAACGAUUAAAGUCCU
rnacentral:rRNA from 1 species